CGUUGGUGCCGCGGCUUUAUCUAAUUGUAGGACGUGAGCUUCUUUUGCUACGUUACUUCACGUUGCGUGCAUUUUUCAACGAGCAGUGCUGUCAUAGGCGCAAUGCAAUGACGAACCUCUGGACCCUAACCUACCUCUCUGCCAAUGUUCGAGAGAAGUGGAAAUGAGUGACGACCAUUGCGAGGUAUCGCCACGACGCAACGCCGGAACGCGACGAAGGCUGGCGUCUUUUUUCACGGCCCUGACUUCCUGAUGACAGUAGUAGCCUUGAGUAGAGGCUCGAGAGAGAGUGGAGGAACCGACGCUGAGUCGAGCAGAGCAAGCAGGCGUUACAACGUUACAACAUUACGACGAUGAAGAGGAGGAAUGCUGCCGAGUAAUAUAAAUUAAAUGAGAAAAUUACGUAUCUACUACUUUCUCCGUUUACCUGGAUUAUCGAACGGAAAUGGUUUGCGAGUAUUGGCUCUAGAGAACUACAUGUUUUUCUCUAUAUCGUACAUUUAUACUUGAAUUUUUCUCGUUUUUUCGAAACUUCCGUGUCGUGUGAUAUAAAAUGUUCGCAGGAAAAUCGUGUGCUUUUUAUUCUUAAUAAUAGUAAUCUCAGCAAGGAAAUGUGAAAGGAAGGA